GGGUAACCUGCCCAAGAGAUCGGGAUAACACCUGGAAACGGAUGCUAAUACCGGAUAACAACAGAUGAUGCCUAUCAACUGUUUAAAAGAUGGUUCUGCUAUCACUCUUGGAUGGACCUGCGGUGCAUUAGCUAGUUGGUAGGGUAACGGCCUACCAAGGCGAUGAUGCAUAGCCGAGUUGAGAGACUGAUCGGCCACAUUGGGACUGAGACACGGCCCAAACUCCUACGGGAGGCAGCAGCC
rnacentral:rRNA from 1 species